GCCGCGGUAGUUCAGCUGGUAGAGCGUCUGGCCGGUAUGCGGAGGGUCGCCGGUUCGAUUCCGGCUCGCGGCG
rnacentral:tRNA from 1 species